GACACCUUAAUCCAACAUCGAGGUCGCAAACCCUUCUUUCAAUGUGAACUCUCCAGAAAGAUUACGCUGUUAUCCCUGUGGUAACUUUUUCCGGUAAUCAACAAUGCUGGAUCACUUGUUAGUAAACCAAAAUUCUACAAAUUAACAGAGAAGCUUUUCAUGUUCCCUAGUCACCCCAACUAAAGAUGUAAGAAUAAAUUUAAAAUCCUCUAUUCUAAUAGAAACAACCCCUUUAUUCCACACUAAAGCUCAACAGGGUCUUCUCGUCCCUCAGCUAAAUCUAAGCCUUUUCACUUAGAAGUUAAUUUUUAAAUAUUCCAGGAGAGACAGCUCAGCCCUCGUCAAACCAUUCAUACCAGCCUCCAAUUAAAAGGCAAGUGAUUGUGCUACCUUUGCACGGUCAGUGUACCGCGGCCGUUU
rnacentral:rRNA from 1 species